rnacentral:rRNA from 1 species
GACGAACGCUGGCGGCGUGCCUAAUACAUGCAAGUAGAACGCUGAAGAGAGGAGCUUGCUCUUCUUGGAUGAGUUGCGAACGGGUGAGUAACGCGUAGGUAACCUGCCUUGUAGCGGGGGAUAACUAUUGGAAACGAUAGCUAAUACCGCAUAACAAUGGAUGACACAUGCCAUUUAUUUGAAAGGGGCAACUGCUCCACUACAAGAUGGACCUGCGUUGUAUUAGCUAGUAGGUGAGGUAAUGGCUCACCUAGGCGACGAUACAUAGCCGACCUGAGAGGGUGAUCGGCCACACUGGGACUGGGACACGGCCCAGACUCCUACGGGAGGCAGCAGUAGGGAAGCUGCGGCAAUGGGGGCAACCCUGACCGAGCAACGCCGCGUGAGGGAAGAAGGGUUUCGGAUCGUAAAGCUCUGUUGUAAGUCAAGAACGGGUGUGAGAGUGGAAAGUUCACACUGUGACGGUAGCUGACCAGAAAGGGACGGCUAACUACGUG